AGAAUGAACGCUGGCGGCGUGCCUAACACAUGCAAGUCGAACGAGAAAGUGGAGCAAUCCAUGAGUAAAGUGGCGCACGGGUGAGUAACACGUGACUAACCUACCCUUGAGUGGGGGAUAACCUAGGGAAACCUGGGCUAAUACCGCAUAAUACCUUCGGGUCAAAGGAGCAAUUCGCUUAAGGAGGGGGUCGCGGCCGAUUAGUUAGUUGGCGGGGUAAUGGCCCACCAAGACUGUGAUCGGUA
rnacentral:rRNA from 1 species